CAUUCCCCACCCCACCCCUCGACCCCCACCAACCACUGCCCUGUCCACCAUCGUUGGGCGCCUCCACCGACCACCCACCCACCGGCGCCGACCCCGACGACCCAAUCGUACCCGAGACCCGGCGCCCCCAUCCAUCUACCUCCUCAUCGCGUCGCGCCCCCGCGCCCCCAAAGCACCGCCCGACGAUGGAUCCGAGCGGGCAACCGCCCCAGCGCGCCUCCCGGCGGCGCAUCCGGGCCAACAACUACUCACAUCCUCCCCCACGACUGGUUGCCUCCACUACCCUCCCUUGCAGCUUAGGGUCCGGCGAGUCCCAGCCGCCACGCUCCCUCUGUCCUCUCCUCCGCGUCAAGAUCGACAGUGAGGUCACCGGUGCCUGCGCUCUGCUGACCUCCCCUUCCUCAUCUUCCUGCGAGGUUCCCAACCGCCCUGCCACGGAUGCGUGUGUUGUUGUUUAUGAUGUAGGUGUUCAGCAUGUAGAAGCUGGACGACGUGAUGCUGCUGUUGCCGAUCUGCUGCAGCGCCUCUUGUUUGACCCUGAGAUCACUGGCGAUGAACACAAUCAGAUGAGGACGUGCGUGCGUGUGGCGUGUGUGCUGCUCCUCGCCAUCGUUGUCGUGCGUGUGAAUCGUGCCAACUAUGUGCCAGGUCAUCGAAGGGCUUCUUCCUCGGCAUUGGCGGUGAUCGCGAGUGCAAGGCCGAAGUUUGUUAGCUUAGGGAGGAAGCAUGUGUUGAGCAUGAUGUUACUGCUCUUGGAAUACCUCUGCACGUAGUUGAGUCCGGCUGCCAUGUCCAGCGCGACCUGGACGUGCUUGCUCCAUCCGAGCACCUCAUCGCUGUGGAGCCACUUGCUAAGCGCGCUGUUUUUGGUGAACUCGAACAUCACGUACGUCAAUACAUGUAGCCGUCGUGCAUGCAGUGAUGGAGAGGCCCCGGACAGGCGGAUGAGGCUCAAGUGGUUGAGGCGACCAAGGAUGCUCACCUCGACGGUAGCGCACACAUCAUUGACUCCUGUUCACGAUCAUCGGUUGUAGCGCAUGGCAUGGCGAUGGUGGAGGAGAUAAAGUGUUGAGAAAAAGGACGGCGAUGCGAAGGGAAGAUGAUAUGAGAUUACUCGACAAGUAUGCGGAGAAUUUUUUAUUAUAUUUGAUCUUCAGAUGAUGAGCAUAAUAAUGGAGAUGGUGCAUAUGCGGAUUUUCCUCUCCCGCUACAACAUAGUUUAUAUUCUGGGGUGCGGCAGUUCCUUUCGGUUGGCGGCGACUGCAAUGUAGUUAUCACCAUGCUCUUUAUAUUACUGGAAACAUCAUUCUUGAUUAUUUCUCCUUGUGUUAUUGGUCACCAUCAUUGUUGAUUAUUUCUCCUUCCGUUUCGUUAUCCAAUAGAUAUUCUAUUAGUACAUGUAUAUUUGGGUGACAAAGGAGCAUGCCAUCCCUGAUUAAACCCCAAAUUGGCGAGAUGAGACGUUUUAUAUCUAAAUCUUGUUUCAUAGAAUUAAUCAUUUGUUUAGUUUGAGAUAUUAAACCCAAAUAAGU